rnacentral:rRNA from 1 species
GACGAACGCUGGCGGCGUGCUUAACACAUGCAAGUCGAACGGAAAGGCCCUGCUUUUGUGGGGUGCUCGAGUGGCGAACGGGUGAGUAACACGUGAGUAACCUGCCCUUGACUUUGGGAUAACUUCAGGAAACUGGGGCUAAUACCGGAUAGGAGCUCCUGCUGCAUGGUGGGGGUUGGAAAGUUUCGGCGGUUGGGGAUGGACUCGCGGCUUAUCAGCUUGUUGGUGGGGUAGGUGCUUACCAAGGCUUUGACGGAUAGCCGGCCUGGGAGGGUGACCGGCCACAAUGGGACUGAGAGACGGCCCAGACUCGUACGGGAGGCAGCAGUGGGGAAUAUUGCACAAUGGGCGGAAGUCUGAUGCAGCAACGCCGCGUGCGGGAUGACGGCCUUCGGGUUGUAAACCGCUUUCGCCUGUGACGAAGCGUGAGUGACGGUAAUGGGUAAAGAAGCACCGGCUAACUACGUG